CCGACGCGAAGCGCUCAACAUGUUUUGAGGCCCGCUUCAGGGCUUAAGCACGCUUCAAGCGCACCUUUGAUAACACUGCUUAGAUGUAGUGAGAUAUUUUGUUCUGUGUUCUCCUUUUGAGCAAUUACUUUGUUCUAGUAGGUUAUUACUUCAUCAAGACUGAAGAAGGGUGAUUUGUUUUUGGCUGAUGUCAACACUCAAUUGAAGAACAAGAAUGUUACUGCUGACAUUAAAGUAGACACAAGCUCCAAUCUUUUCACAACCAUUACAAUUGAUGAAGCUGCUCCUGGGUUGAAGACAAUUUUAAGCUUCAGAGUUCCUGACCAAAGGUCUGGAAAGGAACGACAAGGGGGACUCUGAGUGCAUCAUACUACCACACACUCAGCCCCCUCAAUACUGCUGUUGGCGCAGAGGUGGCCCAUAGCUUCUCCACCAAAGAGAACACCAUUACUGCUGGUACUCAGCAUCAGUUGGAUCAGCUGACUACUGUGAAGGCGAGUGUAAACAAUUUUGGCAAGGCAACUGCACUGCUGUUGCUUUUAAGCCAUAGGCUACUGAUGGGUUUGGAGAUAUGAGGCACUAGUUCAAUUGGAAUUAUGCUCGUUCUUUGGCGAUUUUAGUGUUUGGACUGUAUAAAUAACUAGGCAGUUUCUAGAACCAGUAUCUUCUUUUUCCAAGUUCAUAUAUUCUUAUUCAUCCUCUUGCUAGAA